UUAUUUGCAAUAAAAAGUGACUUUAAAAUUCAUAAGCAUGAGUUAUGCCUCAUGGUUUGGAAAAAAAAAAGUUUUAGAUUCAUUCUUGUAAAAUUUUUAAGGCGAAUUAAAAAACUAACGGCAUGGCAUCACCUUAUGUCAUGAAUGAAAUUUUUAAGGCGAAUUAAAAACUGACGGCAUUGCAUCACCUUAUGUCAUGAAUGACAUUUUUAUUGGUUAAGUGCGCACACGUGCGCAAAGAGAUUUGACAGCCGGGUAAAAAGCUUUACGGAAUAAAUUCGAUAAAAGCAGUUGUCAAAGGAAUGUUUGGUGAUAAACCCAGCGAAAAGCGGUCAGCAUGUUCCGACCUUAUAGUCUUAGUGGCGCAUAACGAUGAUCCAACCGAUCAGAUGCUUGUUUCCUUUUUUUUUUCGAUGAACCAAAAAAUUGGCAUCAAAACUAUCAAAACAUAUUGCACGCGAAUUCAAGAGGAGAAUAUACAUCGUGCGAUCGUAGUAGUGCAAGCAGGCAUGACACCGUCGGCCAAACAAUCUUUGGUUGAUAUGGCGCCGAAGUAUAUUCUAAAACAAUUUCUUGAAUCGGAACUUCUAAUCAAUAUUACAGAACAUGAACUGGUUCCUGAACAUGUUGUAAUGACACCAGAAGAAAAGCAAGAGUUACUGGCACGUUAUAAACUGAAAGAGAAUAUGUUAAUGCGGAUUCAAGCGGGAGAUCCGGUUGCGCGUUACUUGGGUCUCCAACGAGGACAGGUGGUUAAAAUUAUACGUUCGUCGGAAACAGCCGGUCGUUAUAUAUCUUACCGACUUGUUUGUUAAAUAAUAGAAUAAAAAAUCAAUUUGAUAAUGUAAAAAAAAAAAAACGAAUUGCAGCCUCAACAGCAACAACAAAUAACAAAUUUAGCCUGCCAUAAUGAACCGCAGCAACGCAUCAUCUAUUGAACCUCCUUCAGAAAAGACUCGUGAGCAUGCUCUUCUUGCAGUGAAACAACUGAUCGUUGGUGUCAACAAGAUGGAUCCGUCCGAACCACCAUACAGUGAGGCUGGUUAUGGGGAAAUCCAGAAGUAUCCUCAUCCAUCAAGAAGCUCGGUUAAUCCAGCUGCUGUUGCAUUGGUGCCAAUCGCUGACUUGGCAUGGUGAUAACAUGCUGGAAGCAUCCACCACACGCCAUGGCUCAAGGGAUGGAAAGCUGCACGUAAGGAAGGCAAUGCUGAAGGUAAGACACAUAUCGA